CUUGUCGUAGAUGCACACCCCCUUGCGUCUCAGGGCGCCCCAAAUAUUCUCGUGAUUGAGACGGUCGAAAGCUUUUUCGUAGUCAAUGAAUACCAAGUAAAGAGACUCUUGGAAUUCAUUGACCUGCUCCAGAAUGAUGCGGAGCGUUACAAUAUGGUCCACACAUGAUCUUCCGGCAUGGAAUCUGGCCUGCUGCCGCUGGAGAGUCACAUCGAUCUUCUCCUGAAUCCGGGCUAGGAUAAUUUUGCAUAGAACUUUGAGAACAUAAUGCCUCGCCAGUAGGGUGGCUCAAAUUAGCAUGAGCUUGAGCUUGAGCUUGAUUGACUGCUCGUAGAUCAGCUGUUCUUGCACAGGGAACCAACAGAUGUUUGCUUGGGACUGCUACACAUCUUCAAUGUACAAGUACUGGUGAUCUCAUUUGUUAGGUCAUACUGGCGCCUGCCACGUCAGAAUGCAAGUCAAUGUAGGGAAGGGGGAGGAAAUGAUGAUGCAAUCACUCGCCCACUGCAAGCCGAAUAUACCUCUGCACUUGCCACGAGUUCAUGCGGAAUUUGUUGGAAUUUCUGGGUUAGGUUGGAGAGGCAGAGGUCCGUCUUGGUUAACGAGCUGCCAAUGUGAUAGAUAGGAGAAGGUAACUGAUGGAAUUUCUAAUUGGAUGUAGGGGAAACGAGCUCUAUAGUUCAUUUCCAAUUCUAGCAGAUUACUGUUAGAAUACUCAAGUUGAAUAGUAAUGGAAACGGUAUGGAAGUCCAUUUCCAGUUCUAGCGAUUGCUAGAACAUGAGAAAUAAAGAGAAAGAUACAAAGUAGGAGAAUGGAACGGACCUGGGAUUGAACCCACGACCUCCUGCGUAUGAGGCAGAAGCAGUAGCCAUAUGACUACCAAGCCCGCCUCGUAGGGUGGCUCAAAUUAGUAUGGGAAAAACUUUUUCUCAUUUUUUUUAUGGGCCGCCCUCUUAUUCAGUUCUAUUUGAUGCCCUUAUGCUCUGGACAAAUUUUCAGCCAAAUCGGUCAACGUUUGGGCGGUGCUAAACUCGUUGGAAACAUCCAAUAACAGUGAUAUGCAGUAGCACGGCACAAUUUACGAUCAAGAACUUUGAUACUCAUUCAGCUCUUGUAGAAUUGAAUACAGAAUGUUAUGCAAAAAACCGCGAGAAGAUUAGAGUUUGCCCGGCUUAUUAGCAUUUCUUAUUAGUUAUUAGCAUUUCUCUGAAGUGGGGUUUGAGCAAAUUUCGUUUCUUUUACCUUUGAAAAGAAAUAAAUUCACCCCUACAACACUCCAGUAAAAUGCUAAUAUCUUUCCCAAAUAAACUCUAAUCUUCUCGCGGUUUAAGCAUAACAUUUUGUAUUUAAUUCUACAAGAACUGAAUGAGUAUCAAGGUUCUUGAUCGUAAAUUGUGCCGUCCAACAGCAAAUCACUGUUAUUGGAUGUUUCUGCAUACAUUUUUCCAAAUAAAUUUCCAAUGAGUUUAGCACCGCCCAUACGUUGACCGAUUUGGCUGAAAUUUUGUCCAUAGCAUAAGAGCAUCAAAUAGAACCGGCCCAUCAAUUGAAAAAGUGUUUUUUGAGCCACCCUACUCGCCAGUUAUCGCAUACAGUCCGGUCACCCUUUUUGGGCACCUUCACUAAGAUACCUUGCAUCCAGUCGACCGGGAAAGUUGCGGUGUCCCAGAUAUUACGAAAUAAACGAUGCAGUAGUUGAUCGGAUGUCAUGGGGUCAGCUUUAAGCAUCUCGGCUGAUAUGCGAUCGACCCCUGGGGCUUUAUUCGAUUUCUAGCAGUGAUGGAGCUUCGGUAUUGACGCGUGUUAUAUGUCGGAUCCUAGGCAAAUCAUGUCGAGGUGGUGAUGGCCUGGCUGGCACUUGAAAAAGUUGUUCGAAGUGCUCGAACCAGCGUUUCAGCUUGUCAAAUGGGUCGGUCAAUAACUGAUCAUUCGCGUCUUUCACAGGCAACGUUGCAUUCAUCUUCGCUCCGCUUAAGCGUCGUGAGAUAUCAUAGAGGAAGCGAAUGUCCCCGGUUGCGGCGGCUCUCUCUCCUUCGUCGGCCAGAGAAUCUGCCCACGCUCGCUUGUCCCGUCGACAUGAGCGUUUUACUUCCUUUUCAAGAGCCGCGUAUCGUUGACGGGCUAAGACUUUGGCUCCUCUGAUUUUUGAUCGCUCUAUCGCGGCUUUGGCUUCUCUUCGCUGCUCUAUCUUCCUCCAGGUCUCAUCGAUGAUCCAUUGUUUUCUCUGGGUGCGCAGUUUGCCCAGAUUGUUCUCGCUGGUGGCGAUGAAGGCAUUCUUGAUUGCGGCCCAUUGGUCUUCCACGCUGCCACCUUCCGGAAUAUCUUGGUCGAUGAGGGAAGAGGGAUCCCCCGAUCACCAUGUCGUUAUUACCACAAAAUUCAGUAAAUAGCUCUCCGUUUUCGCUCAUUUCUCCGAUAUCAUGGCGUCCCAUAAUGCGCUCAUGGUUCGAGUAGUCGGAUCCGAUCUUCGCAUUGAAGUCGCCCAGUCAACACAAAAUCGUAUAUGAUGCAAAAUAAGAUGCUAAAGUGGAGGCGAUAUAGGGUUACUGCUCCUGGACUUCAUCUCAUAGCUCCGAAAUUGGUCUCACGAAAAACAAAGCAAUGAAAAGGAAUUUGGUUUGUUUAUUAUUUUUGUGAUUUUUUCCAGCAGUAAGCACGCAUAUUAGAUAAAAGAAGCGACGAAAUUGGUGCCGUAUUUCUUUGUUUUGCGAUGAGAUGAAUAUAUGUUCAGUGAGAUGGGAAAUGGAACAGUUCCCCUACAUACAUAUUGUAUGGGGAAGUACCUAUAUCGCCUCCACUUUAGCAUCUUAUUAUACGUCAUGAUAUACGAUCUUGUGUUGACUGGGCAGUCGGGCCGCGGCUAUUGUAAGAAUUAUUCUACAUACAUCGGAUAGAUUAAGCACUGUCACCGUUGUUGUGUCCGGAGUGAGAGAACUCCGAAAACGCCGGAACACGUAAUCUUCGGAUGUACUCAAUUACUUGUGGGUUCUGGCACUUCGAGUAAAGCAAAGGGACGACUUGAAAGAUUCCCAUUCUCGGCGAUGGUGACCAGCUAUCGUCAAAACCGGUUACUAAGUUGGAUUUCAAUUGAUUUCUUCUCUGUGAAAACUACGCCGCCUUGAGUCUCAUAGUCUGCCUUUGUUGCGAUGUCCAGCUGGGUUCAAUUCAAGUCUCAUGCUUGAUUGCUGAUUUCCUUUCCGCCACUGAGCAGGGUGUGACCGACCCAGCCCCACUUCUGUGUCAGAAUUUUAUUUGCUAUCGGCCUCUGCUGACAACGAAGAUGGAGCUCGGUGUUUGAGAUCCAUUUGUAAGGCUACCAGGGUCGAGUUAAGAUCCGAAGACAUCUGUUGAUGUACACCUGUAGCCGUUGAGUGUUCCCCUGACAUACACAUGUUUCACUAGCGUAUAGAAGAGCAGAUUUCACGUUGAAAUUUCGAAUUUGAUGCAUUAAUUCAUCUGCUUGUUCUUCCAGAUAUUUAUUAAACUCGCAAAGGCCCUUGCCUUCUUGAUUUGCGCCUAUGUCAAUAUUGGUUCCCCUUGGUACAUUGGUCUGGCGCCAUUUGGCUACCAAGAUAUUGAAAACUUUCUGGUGAAACUGAGAGGGGUCACCGUGUUCCCAUCCAACGUAGCGAAAUGGUCAACACAGGACCAUUCGGCACGGAAUCUGGUGUGCUGCACCUCACUUUGCGUAGGACUUUGCGAACGGUACACAAUAACAUAAUGCCUCGCCAGUUAUAGUAACCGUUUUUGGUCAUCUUUACUAGAUAAGUUGCGGUGUCCCAUAUAUUGCGAAAUAACCGUUGCAACAGUUGAGUGGAUUCCAUGGGUUCAGGUUCGAACAUCUCGGCUGAUAUACGAUCGAUUCCUGGGGCUUUGAUCGAUUUAAUGCUUUGAAUCCGUGCAAUGCGCAGGCGUAUUUCGCCGGUAAAGAUGAGAUGAUCAGACGUGGCACCGUUUCCAUUUUUGGCUGACCCUAUAGUUGAUUUGAUUUUCGGUAAAGCCGUCUCGAGAGAGCCAUGUAACCUUGUGAGCCGUUCGAUGAGGGAAGAGCGAUCCCCCGACAACCAUGUUCUUAUUAUCAGAAAAUUCUGCGAACUGCUCUCCAUUUUCGUUAAUUUCUCCAAGACCAUGACGUCCCAUGAUGCGCUCAUGGUUCAAGUUGUCGGAUCCGAUCUUCGUAUUGAAGUUGCUCCUACAAAUUUUGAUAUCAUCCUUCGGAAUUAUAUCUACGUCGGCUUUAAGUUGGCUGUAGAAGCUCUCUUUGUCUUGCGGAUGGACAGCAUCGUUUGGCGCAUAACAUUGGAUAAAAGAAAGGUUUCGAACCCGUGUUCUAAACAUGGCAAUGAUGAUCCUUUCAUUUAUAGGAUCCCACUUCAUAAGCAACGGGCUGAGAAUUAUCGAAGUUGGCUAAACGUCGGGCGCUAGACCGAUUAGAUUGCGACAUAAUACCAGUUUUAAGCCUCUGCCCGUUCAUCCUAUUCAAGCGUUGAUGAUAGACUCACAGUGACUGACAAACUGAUUCUACAGAAUAUACGGAAUGCAAUUAAAAGCGACUUUAGAAAGGAGUGUUGUCAACACUCAACAGCAUGACAUAUCCAUUUUUCCGAAGUACUACAGUAAUACAGUAUGGAGGUUCUGCGGGUUUCCAAGACAGAGGGGAGAAUCAGAAACAAUCAAUCAAUAAAACUCGCGUAGUGAAAUGCUUGUCGCCACGCCACGAAGAAAAAGUAAGCAAGCACAAACUUGUCCAGCGGAGGUACGCGUAGCAGUGAAAGCCUUCCCCAACAUGUACGACAUCUGGAUUCGAUUCUAAAAUGUAAUCAACAGUUUUAAUUCUUUGAAUAUUACCUUUUCAUUAUGGCGAAGCAAUUUUUAUGCAAAAUUUUCAUUUCAAUAAUUUUUAAAAACAAACACCAGAACGAUGGCAGUAUGCUUUAGAUAUAUAUACGAGCGAGCUAAUACCAUUUCUCAGCUUUGUUGCAGAGUACACGAAGUUUUUCGCCGAUAACAGGCAUACGGGACUUGCUAAAUGCCUGGAUAAACAAUUCGACGAUUAGACAAGAAGUUUCCUACAGGUUUUAGAUAUUGUUUGACUUGGAAAUGUUGUUUAAAAUCUCAGUAGCGUUUACCGAAGUAACAACUAAAUUUCACCUAUAUUUGACAGAAAACUGCGGAAUCUCCACAUACGUGUUCUCGAUAAUUGCAAAAUAUUUUAAUUUAUCUGUGUCCACCAGUAAUAGAAAAAAAAUACUACAAUCCCCGGUAGUAUUUACGGCAAUCAUAAAAUAAUAGAUAAAUUGUAUUUGUGGAAGCAAUAAUUCAAAACUUCAUGCUAAAAAUGAGGUAAAUCAAAAUAGCAUACCAAUGUUGAAAGUAAUUACCAAUUCCCUUUGAAAACAGAACAAAUAAAGUAAAAGAAAACAUUGGAAAAGUGCCCACUUGUAAUGAUGGCUAUUCAACGAUAAUAGGAAUUACUUAAACAAAUCCAUCCAUCGUAAGGAGCAUAAAAAUGUGUUUUUUUUAUUUAUUUGAGGAUCAAAAGUAAUUCAAAACCGUAAAUAUUACCAAGCACCAACUAAAAAUGAGAAAUAACUUAUCUAAAUUACAACCAGUAUUAUCUAGGAGCUAUGCCAUACUAACUGAUAAAUUACAAUGCUAAAAUUACUAAUCAUUAAUUGUAAUCUAACGAGGCAACUGACUAUAAAUUGCACUUAUUGUUAUUCUACUUGCAACGAUUAACUAUAGGAUUUCCUUCGUUUUUUUGUUGAAGAUAAAUUCCCAUCGAUUUCUGCUAGAAGUUGCGAUCUAAUUAAAAUCCUCAACUAUUCAUAAAUUUAAUAAAAAAACACACACAAACAAGUUCGAAUUAUAUUCUCAAUUGAAACAACUUAACCAUUAAAACAAGCAAGGAUUGCCUUUCUAAAAUCGAUGCUUCAGGCUUUAAAAUAAUCGUUACCGAAGAAUUUCACAUCAUGUCAUUUGAAAGUGCAUCCAUCUUAUCAGAACCAGUGAUGGGAAAUGUCAAAAAAAUGUCAUGGGGUUGCUAUUACUAAUUUGCUAAUAACUUUUUUCAAAAGUUAUUUACAAUUCGGAUUUUUUUAUUAACAUGUAAUGCUCAAAAGAUCCUACAAGUUUGCCAAACAGGUCAUUGUUCUAAAUACACAGUAUGAGGCACGAUAACGAAUUUAAAAAAAUGUCACGGAAUGUCAUGACAUUAAUGUCAUUUGACACUAAUUCGGCUCUCACGGCGCCAAUUUCAGUUUUAGAGCAAUGAGCUAUUAGAAAAAGUUUUAGUAUCCUUUGAAGGCUUUAUAUUCAUAUAAAACAUACGAUUGUAAAUUACUUGUGAAAAAGUUAUUAACAAAUAAGUCCCAUGACAUCGAUAUGACAUUUCCCGUCACUGAUCAGAACUUUGAUAGAAUUUUUUAUCAUUUGUACCCCAAAUACAAAGCAAAUAUAUACCCUUACUAAUCUAGCCUAUAUACUACUUCCGAUGAUUGUAAUACAAAUUUGACCAACCGAUAUGCAAGACCCAAGACUUUGAUAAAUGAUAUCACUAUUGAGCUGAAAUAUCUUUCCUCACACAUUUUGGAGCUUGAGAAAUGAUCCCUUUUGAUAGCUUCAGCUAACUCCCGUGCACACACUACAUGUAUAAAAUUCGGUAAUGUUUGGAUGGUUAUACAUGCUACUUGAUGAGAAUUGAAAAACGAACCAUGAUUGUACAUCAAGGUAUGAGAUACUUCUAAGCUACUAUUAAACGUAAGAACUUGUUGGAUUGAGACAAAUCCUAA